AUUCAACAAUGCUAUUUAAAAUUGGAUAAAUAAAGGCAAAUGAAAUUAUAAAAAUGGAUCAUCACUUUUAUGGAAAGCCAACUAAACCAAUGUUUUGCUCAACAUGUCAAGCAUUAGGGGACUUUAAUAAAAUAUUGAAAGUGAGUUCCCCAGAGGAGAUGAGCAAUUCAAAAAUAGAAUGUAUGAGAACAGUGCUAAUUGAUACUUCAAAUACGAAUGGCACUCCGUAUCCUUAUGGAUGAGGAAGCGUGUUAUCUGAUGAGAUGACACAAAUCAUGCAAUGGGAGUCUCUGGGGCCCAGUGGACAGCAGCUGUGCAGGAUCUGAGGCUGUGGAUGUUAACAACACUGCUCCCUGGGAAUCCACAGGAGAGAUUCGUUCACUGCCAUGUAGAACCAUGUUGUACAGGAUUUACUGUUGUGAAAGUUUCCCAGAGUUCUGAUAACAAUGGGUAGUCAGAACCUAGAUUAUCUGAACCAAGAUAGAACGCUGCACGGAAUGCAGCACUGCACAGCACUGCUCUUGUCUAUUGGGCCCUCCAUGAAGGAGCUAAUUUAUCCACCCUCCCUUCUGUUGAACCAUCAGUGGGUAAUCUCAGGAGCUUAUUUUGGAAUAACUGCUCAGCUACUAAUGGAAUAAAGAGUAUAAUGAAUGAACAUAAGUGGACACUAAAGCCUGUUAGUGAAAGGGUGUGGCUAACUUUAUGAUGGAGGCAUCCAACUGACACCACCUGAAUUCACUGAUGAAGCCUAGAGAAAUGGGACAGCUGUGCCAGCACGUGCCUUGUGAUGUGAUGCACCAGGAAGUAUGAAGUUUUCUUGCCCAAAAAAAUUCAACCUGAAUCUCAUCAAGCCACUUUACAGGACAUACAGGGGAUCAAGAAACAAGUAAAAUGACACUGAGGGGGAGGCAAUAAGACAAAUCCAGAAUGUGGGUCAUUUUACAGGACAAAUUACCCAAUUUCUACAGCAAAUGAGUAGUCAGGGAAGGGAGGAAGAUGGUAUAAAAGAGAAGAGACUUACGGACAUAGCCAAAUGCUGUGUGUGGCUCUUAUUUGGAUUCUGAUUAGAAGAAACCACCUGUAAAAAUACGGCUUUGAGACCAUCAGGGAAGUCCGAACAUGGACCUGGUGUUAGAUGAUAAUUUAAAAUUAUUGUUAGGUAUGAAUAAUAGCAUUUAGUUAUUUUUAAAACAUUUUUGUCAAUUAGAAAUGCAUACUAAAAUUUUUACAGGUGAUAUGACACAAUAUCUGGAAUUUUCUGGAAAAUGCUUGAGCAAAAAGAAAGCCUGAAAAAAGCACCGGUGGUUUUUUCCUCAGCCACGUUACUCUCUUCUAUAAGAGCUUAAUAAGACACACGGAGAAAAUGGAUCUCCAUUUGCAGGUUUU
rnacentral:lncRNA from 1 species